CCAGAGAUAUCUACACUCUACUCACACUUUACAAACUCUCAACUACUCUCAACUGAAAUUAAUAUAUCAACUCUUUGCAUUCGGAUCUUGCGUUGUUUCUCGGCUCUCACAUCAAGGUUUUAAAAUUUUUGUCGGCUUUUCACAUCUCCCUCUUGCAUUGUUGUAAGUUCUUUCAAAUAUGACAUAGUGAAAGGAUAAAUUGUUUUUGUAGUUUUGAUUUUACUUUGUUCUGUUAUAUUUUGAUCUUUUCCUUCA